rnacentral:rRNA from 1 species
AGGACGAACGCUGGCGGCGUGCUUAACACAUGCAAGUCGAACGGAAAGGCCCUUUCGGGGGUACUCGAGUGGCGAACGGGUGAGUAACACGUGGGUGAUCUGCCCUGCACUUUGGGAUAAGCCUGGGAAACUGGGUCUAAUACCGAAUACACCUUGCUGGCUGCAUGGCCUGGUGGGGGAAAGCUUUUGCGGUGUGGGAUGGGCCCGCGGCCUAUCAGCUUGUUGGUGGGGUGAUGGCCUACCAAGGCGACGACGGGUAGCCGGCCUGAGAGGGUGUCCGGCCACACUGGGACUGAGAUACGGCCCAGACUCCUACGGGAGGCAGCAGUGGGGAAUUUUGCGCAAUGGGGGAAACCCUGACGCAGCAACGCCGCGUGGAGGAUGAAAUAUCUUGGUAUGUAAACUCCUUUCGAUGGGGAAGAUUAUGACGGUACCAUAGAAGAAGCCCGGCUAACUCGCGCCAGCAGCCGC